UACAGAGGUCCCAAGCGUUUGUUCGGAUUUACUGGGCGUAAAGGGUGCGUAGGUGGUUGGGUAAGUUUGAUGUGAAAUCUCCGGGCUUAACCCGGAAAUGGCAUUGAAUACUAUUCGGCUAGAGGUUUGGAGGGGGGACUGGAAUUCUUGGUGUAGCAGUGAAAUGCGUAGAUAUCAAGAGGAACACGAGUGGCGGAGGCGAGUCCCUGGACAACACCUGACACUGAGGCACGAAAGCUAGGGGAGCAAACAGG
rnacentral:rRNA from 1 species